rnacentral:rRNA from 1 species
AGAGGGGUGCGAGCGUUAAUCGGAAUUACUGGGCGUAAAGCGCACGUAGGCGGAUAUUUAAGUCGGGAUGUAAAAUCCCUAGGCUCAACCUAGGAACGCCAUUCGAUACUGGAUAUCUAGAGUUUGGUAGGGGAAGUAGAAUUUCCGGAGUAGCGGUGAAAUGCGUAGAUACCGGAAGGAAUGCCGGUGGCGAAGGCGACUUCCUGGGCCAAUACUGACGCUGAGGUGCGAAAGCAUGGGGAGCAAACAGGAUUAGAUACCCUGGUAGUCCAUGCUGUAAACGAUGAGAACUAGACGUUGGGAAUUUUGUCUUCAGUGUCGAAGCUAACGCAUUAAGUUCUCCGCCUGAGGAUUACGACCGCAAGGUUA